GUCGUAAAUUUCUUUUGCAGGCGACCUGCAGUAGUAUUGGUGCAAGACUAGUUAUUCUUGAAAGCGAAGAUGAAAUAGAUUUUCUACAAACACAAGUGUCAGGAUUUAACCAUUGGAUCGGUAUGACUUGUUCCGCUGGCACGAAUUGCGUAUGGGAUGAUGGUAGAAGUGUUAAUUCUGGGUUCACUGCUUGGGCGCCCAAUGAGCCGCAAGGUCACGACUGUGUAUACAUUGGUUACUAUGUAAACAAAUGGGAUGAUGGCUUCUGUGUAGGACCGGCUAAAGCACUUUGUGAAUAUCUUUAAUCCAUAUAUAUGUGUCUA